CUGUGUAUUAGAACCACGACGUGAAACAAAUUAGACCUACAGGACGUGAGACUAAAAAACAUAGCCUCAAAUUGCGAAACUUGUAUCAGAAACUCUUUUGGGGGGCCUCGAAACCCUCUAUGCUCGCAAAGGGGCUACGGAGUUUUUUGUGCUUAGCAAAAGGGUCGCGGAGCCAAAAAGGUUGGGAACCACUCUGCCGUGAGAUGACAUUGUGACGUAGAUCCAAGUAAUCAGUUUUUCAGUACGGCCCAAAAACGAAUGCAUUCCUUGUUACUUUUGUACUGAAAUGGUGCCUGAGUCACUUUGUUUUUUUGAUUUUAUGCAGCGUACGAAUAAGUAAAAACGAAAAGGAAGAUACCAAAAGAUAGGUCUUCGAAUAAUGAACAAAUUGGCAUGAAAAACCCAUUUUCGAAAAAAAUGGCAUUUACGUCACUUUGUCAUAUCACGGCAGCACUGCUCUAGAUGUUUUGCUACGCGCAUUCCGUGAAUCCCAUGGUCACCGUUAUUUUCAACGCGUGAACACAGCAAAAACCGAAAGUCGUUUUCGUUUUUGCGGUGUAGCUACCCCGCGGACUACACUUUGUCCUAUCACUGUUUUUUUUUACAUUUUCCGGACUAUCCCGGACUACCCUUUUUCUGUCCCGGACAGUCCGCGCAAGAAACAGAGUGCAGUUUUGAAGACACCAACACAGUCACACGGUUGUGUCAAAAUCGGUUUGCUUUGAUUAUUGUUCUUCGCGUGUCAAACAUCAGUAGCACAAACGCGAUAAAAGACAAUUCGGGUUAUUCGCGUUGAAGGAGAGUUUGAAGGCUGUUCGCACCUAGCAACACCGUCAACGCGAAUGGCGAUAAUGACCAAAACAAAAGUGACAGCUACCUUUGGUAUUACGCACACCAUUGCAACUGCUCGGGAAGUUUUUUUUUUAGCUGCAAAGCGUAGUUCGGGACGGGAUAGUCCUGCCGUAUAAACGAAUUCGACAUAAAUUACCUACAUCUCAAGAGUAGCAGGCUAUUUGUGAAAAAAAAAAUAUCAUUGUGUAGAUCUAACCGUACAAAUCGUUAAUUUCAGUUGAAAUAACAGAUAACGAGGAAGAAUUAAACAAAUUUGCUAGUCUCUGAGACAUUCACAUUACUUUACCUUUGUACGGCGAAGUACAAAACUUCAACUUUUUUUCGUAUAGCCACACACACCUUGCGUAGUCUUGCGAAAGGAUUUUGACGUUAAACUGUCACCAAAAUUGUCCAACUAUAUUUUGCAAAUCUUAGGACUUAUAGCCUCUAUUACAGAAGACACGGCGAGUUGCUCACCUCGUCUUCUGUAAUAGAGGUUGAUGGGAUCAAAUCUCAAUUUACUUGGCAUAACAUUGAAAAAUCCUACUAC